ACGCGCCUAAAUGCCUGUCGACGCUCUACACUCGCCUCGCCGGUGCGUCUCCCCAUCUGGUUCUCCUGAUAAAGCAAACGCAUCAUGGUCAGCAAAACAUGCAUGCAGAGAGAAAAAGCAAUUAAACCGGUGAACCGAGGGAUGUGGCGAGGCUCUGGUUUCCUUCCCUUUGUUGCUUGGCUCGAAAAAAAGCAGCAGAAAUCAGGAGCAGCACACAGCAGGUCUAGUCGUGAUCAGCCUACGCAUAAAUAGGCGCAGAAUAAGUUGUUGUGCCCGAGGAAGACAGGGAGGUUCCAAAAUAGUAUCGGCACCUAUCUACUACCAGUACUCGAAUAGAUCAUCUAGAUAUAUGUGCAGUGCAGGGGCCUACGAACUGAUCCUUCUCUGAACUCUGAACAAGCUGUAAAAUAUUUACAAAGAAAGUGGUAGGAGGAGUAUCAGAUAUGGUCGCUUUAUACGUUGUUCCUCCGGCAUGGCUCCAAUGAUUCCACUACCAUAUGGUUCUGGUUGAUGGCGACAUGUGAUGUGAGCAUCGUAUCGUAUCAGCUAAACAGAGAGCCAAGACAGUCAGGGGAACCGGAACGCAGGACUGGUGGUGGUCAUCAGGUCAUUUCUUGGUUCCCCUCUUCCUUCCUUUGUUGGAUUUUGGGGUUGGGAUCGAAAGCGACCAUGUGAUCUCGAUCGAUGCACUUCUCCUUGGCUUUGAGUUUGGUUCGGGGCUCCGUUCCCAAACCGGACGGACGGACGGACUCAUCGCUGUCCCUUGUGCCUGCUGCCUCCUGUUUUAAUUAGCUCUCUCGGCCAAUGGCCAUGGCGCAUCGCUAUCGUCCCCUUAUACUGGAAUCAUAGCUGCUCUCCCGGAGAGAUUUUCCUGCUUUUGAGAGGGCCAACCACCCGGCCAGGUUGGCGUACAUCGCCGUUCAUGGAUAUCGCUAUCGCCUGGAAUCAAUCUCCUGCCGCGGCAGGGAGACAGGAUGGGGGAAUGUUUCUUUGACCGGAUGGGUCCCUGCUUCCUUUCCUUUGGACCGUGGAGCUCUGUCAUUCUCGUUCGAAGGGCGGAGGAAGGUUAGUUUGUGCGCGCGCGGCGUGGCGUGCUGCAAUGAGUGCUGGCACCGGGCUGCCACGCCUCAAGCCACCACAAGCAGAUUGGUGGUUUGGCUUGCCUCUCGCCAAGUGUUAAUUGGUUCUUAAUUUUGAUGUACAAAUUCGACGAGAAAGGAAAAUGCUAAUCAUAGGUCGGGGGUUGAACGUCCCUUCAUGUGAAAUCUCUAUUGCCUCUUUAUGUUCAGUUUUGCAAUUUCUGAAAUGUGUUAGGCCUCUCAUGAUGCUACUAGGUGGCGUUAUCUCUAGCAUCUGUAUUAUUAGUAAGAGACAACACAUAGAAGACUAUUCAUUGGAAGAUAACUUAGUUGAAUUUAUUUUACAAUUCCUUGCGUGACA